AGUGGAGCCUGCGGCUUAAUUUGACUCAACACGGGAAAACUCACCAGGCCCGGACACCGGAAGGAUUGACAGAUUGAGAGCUCUUUCUUGAUUCGGUGGGUGGUGGUGCAUGGCCGUUCUUAGUUGGUGGAGCGAUUUGUCUGGUUAAUUCCGAUAACGAACGAGACUCUAGCCUACUAACUAGGCGUACCCGGUAUCCACAAUCGUGCUACCGGCGAUCAUAUUUCUUCUUAGAGGGACAGGCGGCUUCUAGCCGCACGAGACUGAGCAAUAACAGGUCUGUGAUGCCCUUAGAUGUCCUGGGCCGCACGCGCGCUACACUGAAGGAAUCAGCGUGUCUUCCCUGUCCGAAAGGACCGGGUAACCCGCUGAACCUCCUUUGUGCUAGGGAUUGGGGCUUGCAAUUGUUCCCCAUGAACGAGGAAUUCCCAGUAAGCGCGAGUCAUAAGCUCGCGUUGAUUACGUCCCUGCCCUUUGUACACACCGCCCGUCGCUACUACCGAUUGAAUGAUUUAGUGAGGUCUUCGGACUGGUGCGCGGAGGCCGCUUUCGUGGUCUCCGAUGUUGCCGGAAAGAUGACCAAACUUGAUCAUUUAGAGGAAGUAAAA
rnacentral:rRNA from 1 species